GCACCGGAACAGAAGACCCGGACCAAAAGUCAACAUUGUUGACUUUAGUGAUCUGGGUGCCCGGAACAAUUCCGAGCGCCCGGACCAGUCCGGGCGCUCGGAGCCAUUCCGGGCGCUUGAAAUUGAAUCUUGACCGGAUCGCGGUCAAAUGCGAUCCGUUGCGAAGGGGAUAAAAUUUUAUCCCUUCCCAGGCGCCCCGACCAAGACUAUAAAUACAACCUUAGUCCAAAAACUUUUCAAUUCGAUUCAAGAAAUUGUAACAACACUUGUGCGCUUCUAUUAUUUUGUUUAACUUCCUUCUUUCUAUGCUUACACUGCUGUAACCGAGGCUUCUCCGCUUGAAGGAGAAUUUAAUGCGAUCAUCUUUUUUGGAUUAACAACCUCCCCGGUUGUAACCAAGUCAAAUCCGGUGCCUCUUCUUUUUGUUAUUUUCUGUUUAUUUAAUUUAUACAAGUGUUACUUUGAAAGUUCGUGAAGGGUAGUUUGUUUUUAUUUGUGCAGGCUAUUCAACCCCCUUCUAGCCGGCCAACGCGGUCCAACAAUGCCAACUUGCCAAGGAUUAUUUUUGUGUGAUUCUGGCUUCCUUUGGCUUCUAGUCACUUCCCUCAUUGGAUAUCAAUAAUGCCUUCAUGAGAAUCUUAAGGAAGAGG